rnacentral:rRNA from 1 species
AACGAACGCUGGCGGCAGGCUUAACACAUGCAAGUCGAACGAGUGUAGCAAUACACUAGUGGCGCACGGGUGCGUAACGCGUGGGAACCUUCCUCGUGGUUCGGAAUAACUCAGGGAAACUUGGGCUAAUACCGAAUGCCUCCUUCGGGAGAAAGAUUUAUCGCUACGAGAUGGGCCCGCGUCAGAUUAGGUAGUUGGUAGGGUAAUGGCCUACCAAGCCGACGAUCUGUAGCUGGUCNGAGAGGAUGAUCAGCCACACUGGGACUGAGACACGGCCCAGACUCCUACGGGAGGCAGCAGUGGGGAAUAUUGGACAAUGGGGGCAACCCUGAUCCAGCCAUGCCGCGUGAGUGAAGAAGGCCUU